GUAAUGGCAUACGCUUUGGCCCCUCAGUCUCACUUCCAUGCAGUUGUGACGUAAUUACCGGAAAGGUAAUAGUUUAAUACAAAACAAAAGCUUUUGUUGGGUUUUCCCCGGGCGACAUUUUUUGCAAGUGUUUACCGUGAUUCAAUUUUGUUUAAUAUCAUCUAUUUAAAUAUCUUGUAAGAUAAACAACGUAAUCUAAUUUAGUACUAUGACAUUAUCGAUUUGGUUUGAGAGAAGGGCAAUGAGAAAAUGUUAUUUGGCAGAACUACAGCGCAUUUCUAGCAGUGACAUGAACUCAGAUGUCUGGCCUCAGCAACAUUCAAAUGUAAACAAAAGGCCAUAAAUAGUAUCAGAUUUCAAACGCUCUCAAUUGUUCAAAUCGCGUUUGCAGACGAGUUUUAUUACGGUUUUUAGUACUUCAAAGUGUCCUUUUUCCAACUAUACUAGUCACUGUAUGUAAUUAGGUCCCACUUUUAAGAAAUUCGACGUAGAAAAUAGUAGGAUUUGAAAGCCGUAUUUUGACAUGGCGCUCUUUGUCGCUAAAUAUUGUCACAAAUGCUCUGUAAUUAAAACCUAAGUUAGUUUAGAUGAAAUUACGAUAGUUUUCCGGUGCUGGGUUUGAAUAUCAGAAAUUUUGAACAAAAACUUUUGAAAUUAUGUUUAUUUAAAUUCAGCCCAUUUUUUCGUUUAAUUAGCCGGCGAAUUUCUCCCGCGACGGUGAGAGACCAAAAAAUCUCUAAAACUUUGAAACUAAAUAUAUUUUCAAAAUUCCAAACAGCAUUUGUUUGUUGUUAAAGUAAAUGUAGUUCACGGUAAAAGUUUCGAAGAAAUUUAUUUUUCGAGCCCCAAGUCAGUGGGCGGUUUUUAGAGACACACGCUCUUAAAAUCAGUAGAGUAACUAGAGUUCACUGGUUAAAAUUGAAUCUCCUACUUCGUCGUGUUGAUGUUGAUCCGCCAUCUUGUUUUUAAAUUUGCAAACUCGCAAUGCAUUUUGGGAUUGUUGUUGCCAAAAGAAACGAUUGUUGCCAAACGUGAGGUCAUUGUCAAAUGAUAACAUUUUAGUUUAGUGCAGUAUUAAAUUGUUGUCAAACGAAUUUUUGUUGUUGAAUAUUUUGAUAUUGUCACCAAAUGUUUUGCAGUUGCCAUAAAAUAGUCAGAACCAAUAACCAAAUGAUGUCAAAUCAUUGCCAAAUUGUUUGACAUGCAUGCCAAAUGUUACAAGAUCAUUGUCAAAAUGUUUCACUUAAUUUUGACACACAUCACCCGCCAUAUAAAACAGCAAACUUGCAAACAAUUUGAGGCAUUUAUUAUUAGGGGUGGACCGGAUAUAGUAUCCGGCCGGAUUGUGACAAAAUCGUACUACCCGGUAUCCGGCCGGAUAUUUACUAUUAUCCGGCCGGAUACCGGAUAAUUUGUUUUUCAUGAAGUGCACUAAAUUUCCGUUAAUUGAAACAUAAAAAGUACUAAAAAAAUAGAAAAACAAAAAAGGACAUGUGAAAAAGCUAGCCACUGAUAUAAUUAACUAUUCACAGCUUUUGGCGCCAAAAGCAGUACUAAAUGCCAUCGCUCAAAAACUUUGGGAAGUUUUCGGAAACAUGUGAACGGUGGAAAAAGUUAAAAACAGAUUUUUAGUUAACCAUAAUUGAUUAUUUACACAAAAAUUAAAAUAGUGUCACCUUCUGCACUAAUACAUGGAUGAGAAAAAUCCUUAUAAUAUAUAUUAUAGGCCUAGUAUUCAAAUUGAUCAAAUAUCCGGUAUCCAGGCGGAUAAACCGGCCAGUAUCCGGCCGGAUAGUAAAACUCACUAUUCGUUUUUUUUCUUGAAUUUGUUCAGCAAAACAGGAGCAAAAAAUGCUAUAAACAAAAGCUCAACCUUCUAAAUGUAUUUCAAAAACUAAUUUUUGAACGAAAACAAAUCAUGACAACUUACUUGAACAUAUUUGAAGUAAUUGGACCGUUUUGGACUAUUGUGUGGUUUGGACGUAAAAUAUUGCAAGCUUCAGUCAUUGUUGCGCCUUAAAAUGCAUUUUUGCCAGCAAAAUUUCCAAUUCGAAAGGUAUUUUCGAAAUUCUUGGUUAUAACGAUGAAGAGUAGAAGAAAUCUGUUGUUUAGGUAGUAUUUCUUCUUAAUCGGCAUAUUUCAUAUAAUCAACUCAAUACAGCUUUCUUGUUUGUAGCAGAUAAAAAUUUAGUUCGUUAAGAAACUUGAUUGACAGAUUUUCUUUUCGAUAUUUUAUCCAAUCAAAUUCAAGAUCCAUAAAGUCAUUGUCAAGUUGUUCCUAAUUUGGUAUGCAACUUCGGAACCUGUUUCAGGACGUUGUUUUUCAUUGCAUCUGAAAAUCUGAAGUGAUUUGCUGUUUACAGCUCUAAACGCAUGCAAAUCCUUCAAAAAAGACAAAGAAAUCUAUUUUUGAGGCUUGUCUUAUAAUAAAUCCCAUUGAAUGGUUUAACAUAUAUAAUCCUGCCGA
rnacentral:lncRNA from 1 species